AGAGUUUGAUCCUGGCUCAGAUUGAACGCUGGCGGAAUGCUUUACACAUGCAAGUCGAACGGCAGCACGGGAGCUUGCUCCUGGUGGCGAGUGGCGAACGGGUGAGUAAUACAUCGGAACGUACCCAGUCGUGGGGGAUAACACAUCGAAAGAUGUGCUAAUACCGCAUACGACCUGAGGGUGAAAGGGGGGGAUCGCAAGACCUCUCGCGAUUGGAGCGGCCGAUGUCGGAUUAGCUAGUUGGUAGGGUAAAGGCCUACCAAGGCGACGAUCCGUAGCUGGUCUGAGAGGAUGAUCAGCCACACUGGAACUGAGACACGGUCCAGACUCCUA
rnacentral:rRNA from 1 species